rnacentral:rRNA from 1 species
CAAUAGCGUAUAUUAAAGUUGUUGCAGUUAAAAAGCUCGUAGUUGGAUUUCUGGUGGGAGCGAUCGGUCUGGCGCUUAGCGCGAGUACUUGCAUCGUCUCCGGCCAUCCUUGGGGAGAGUCUGUCUGGCAUUAGGUUGUCGGGCAGAGGAUCCCCAUCGUUUACUGUGAAAAAAUUAGAGUGUUCAAAGCAGGCUUAUGCCGUUGAAUAUAUUAGCAUGGAAUAAUAAGAUAGGACUUUGGUACUAUUUUGUUGGUUUGCGCACCAAAGUAAUGAUUAAUAGGGACAGUUGGGGGUAUUCGUAUUCCGUUGUCAGAGGUGAAAUUCUUGGAUUUACGGAAGACGAACUACUGCGAAAGCAUUUACCAAGGAUGUUUUCAUUAA